rnacentral:rRNA from 1 species
UACGGGGGGGGCAAGCGUUGUUCGGAAUUACUGGGCGUAAAGGGCGUGUAGGCGGCCAACUAAGUCGGAUGUGAAAUCCCCAGGCUCAACCUGGGAACUGCAUCCGAUACUGGAUGGCUUGAAUUCGGGAGAGGGAUGCAGAAUUCCAGGUGUAGCGGUGAAAUGCGUAGAUAUCUGGAGGAAUACCGGUGGCGAAGGCGGCAUCCUGGACCGAGAUUGACGCUAUAGCGCGAAAGCUAGGGGAGCAAACGGG